UCCACAUUCAAACCAAAAUAUCUGACUUCCUUUUGGUCGGAGCUAAUGACUGUAAAUUAGAAAGUUGUCUGGCUUAAUGAGAACAAUAUGUGUACCGAGUUUGGUGACUGUAGUUUAAACUAACCCCCCCACUUUUGACAAAAGAUGGCGCUAUAGAGGCCCUCCUCCCCACCUGUUUCUACGGCUUUGCCCGUGCCUACUGGUUGACAUCUCUAAUGUUUGUAUCGAGUUUCAUGCAAUUUGAAGCAUGCUAAGCAUCUCAAAAGCAUCCAAAAUGAAAAUUAAAGUUUGAUGCGUUGCCAUGGCAACAGUGUUUGAGAUAUCGCGAUUCUUUUCACAGGUCUAUAUCUGCUGUGUAUUGACAUUACACUGAUGAAGAUUGAAACAAAAUGGGUAAAAAAAAUAGGGUGAUCUCUAAGCAUUUUGAAAGUGACACACUUCCUGCUGCCAAUUGGUGGCACUAUAACUUUGACUCACAGUAGUCACAUCCAGGUGAAGUUUCAUGAAAAUCAAUCAAUGUAUGCAGAUGUUAUAACACAUUUUGUGUUUCUCUUUUCUCGCCAUAAAUUCGUUGCCUUGCCACGGACAAACCGUUCGAGAUAACAAAAAUCUGAUUGCAAUUUAGCAUCCUCAAUGUCUUGACUCUAUGCUGACUGAGUUUGGUGGUGAUCGGAUUAAUCGUCUAGGAGGAGUAUAUCAAAUUCCAGAGCAUGCGUUUUCCAAACAACCCAUAAUAACUGACUUCCUGUUGAGCUGGCGUAUAACUUAGAGCAUGAAAGUUGUUAGGCCCGAUGAGGUCUAUAUGUGUACUGAGUUUCAUACAAAUACGUGCAAGCGUGUUUGAUAUAUGGACCAAUUUUUUAGGCACCAUUCAAGGGGGCGCUGUCGAGCCCCCCUGCCACGCCCGGGUACCAGCUUCUGCCUGGCCCUGAUGGCCGACGAUUCCGAUGUGUGUGCAAAGUUUCAAGAGUUUUUGAGCAUGUUAAGGGCGCCAAAAACCCCAAAAACUUAGAAAAAAAAUAAAUUUCCUAAGGAAAACAAUAGGGCCUUCAGCCUUUGGCUUUGGCCCUAAUUAAAGCUGCAAGCAGCGAUAAAGGGGCCCUCGCACCCGGGCUCACCGCCACCCGUUGGCCUUAGGAAAACAGUGAACAGUGGGUGAAAUACAUGUAAGCGAGUAAAUACAGCAGAAUUAUGGCAAAGUCAUUUCAAAGUGCCAGACUUCCUGCUACCAACAGGUGGCGCUUUGACAGGUGGUAAUAUUGUGAUAUAGAUGUGUUCAGGCCAGAAAUAUUAUCAAGCGUGUGAAGUUUGGAGCAGAUCGGACAUUGUAUGGCUGAGUUACAACAACUUCCUGUUUCGUGGCGUUAAUCGCAUACACUAGCACUUAGCCAAGUGUUGCAUGAUUUAACGUGUUUCUAGCAUGUUUGGCAUAUUGAAAUGUGUUUCUGGUAGUGAAUUACAGUGUGAAGCAUGCCAUUUCCUGUUGCCAGCAGGUGGCGCUAUGACUAACUGAAUAUUGUCAUAUAGAUGUCUUUAGGCCAGGACUCUUAUCACACAUGUGAAGUUUGGGGCAGAUCGGACAUAGUAUGCCUGAGUUACAACAGCUUCCUCUUUCAUGGCGAAACAUCAGACUUUGUCAGGCCGCCACGGACACGCCCUUCAACGAAACCUCAAGAUCUUUGAUAUUUAUCAACGCUAAGGUCUUAAGAUUAGACUGACAACAUAUGAUAUGGUUCUGGUUAAAUCUGUAUGAGGAGUUAAUCACAGUGUAAAACAUGUCAUUUCCUGUUGCCCACAGGUGGCGCUAUGACUAUAACUGAAUAUUGCAAUAUUGCCAUGUAGAUGUCUUCAGGCCAGGACUCUAAUAAAACAUUUGGCUCUAUUUAUUAAUUUUAUAAUAUUUUUAUUUUUACAUCAAAUACCACCCAUACUGAAAUUAAAUGAUUUUGGUGUAUAAGAUUGGUGCGCAAACAACAGCUCAGGGAGGUCAAAAAACACAUGGAGAAGUGUUAGGGUUUGGGGGCAGAUUGGACAUUGUAUGUCUGAGUUACAACAACUUCGUAUUUCAUGGCAGAACAUCGAAAUUUGUCAGGCCGCCACAAAGACACCCUUCAGCGAAAAGUCAAGAUCUUCGCAAUUUAACGUUGCAAAGGUCUUUAGAUUAGACUGACCAAAUAUGACAUUGAUCUGAUUAAAGCUCUAAGAGGAGUUCGUUAAAGUACAACGUCUGGAAAUGGCAAAAAAUGGCAAGUUAAUUCAAAAUAUCUGACUUCCUGUUCGGUUUCAGAUUUUGCUCCACGAGACUUUUUUGUAGGUAUUGGGCUGUUAAAUGUGUGUACCGAAUUUCAAAAUCAAAGUGAAAUGUAGCGCGGGGGGCACUUCGUUAGGUGGCGCUAUUGAGCCAUUUUGCCACGCCUAAUUCUGCAACCCAUAACAGACGUAAAUUUUCACCACUUCUGACGCGUGUGUAAAGUUUCAUGAGUUUUCGAGCACAUUUAGGCCCUCCAAAAAGUGAUUCACUUUGGAGAAGAAUAAUAAUAAAUAUAGCUGCAAGCAGCGAUGACGGGCCCAAGCCUGGUGGCACCGCCACCCCGGUGGCUUCAGGGCAACUGUGCACGGUGGGCAAUGGGCAUUUAAAACGGUUAAACAUAAAAGGUCUAUGUCAAAUUCAGACCACAUUUACUGCAGCAGCUGGUGUCUCUGUGAUCACAAACCACCAUCCUAAUCUGUCAUGUUUUUGUUUUUCUCAGACAACCACUAUAAAAAUUCCAGAGCAAACUACCUACUGUUAUUUGCGCAAACUCAACAGUACUUUGAGAAAUCUAAUCCAGUGUAAUGUGAAUUUCUGUGAUUGCUGAUGUUAUAUUACCCUAACACUCCAUGUGUUUUUUGACCUCCCUGAGCUGUUGUUUGCGCACCAAUCUUAUGCACCAAAAUCAUGCUUUCAUUUAAUUUCAGUAUGGGUGGUAUUUGAUGUAAAAAUAAAAAUAUUAUAAAAUUAAUAAAUAGAGCCAAAUCACAGAACUUGCAAAGAUGAUUUUAAUAUCUGUCUCAGGUAAGAGUAAGGUACGUGUCUAGAUUUUUCUGCUCACUUAUACAAGUUUUUUAUAAACAGCCACCUUUAUUAAAUCAUGUGAAAUUUAUGUAAAUAUGGAUUUUGAAUAAAUUAGAAUUAUAUCAAUAAAUAAUUAAUUUAAAAACAUAUGCGUCGUACGUGAUGCUCGCAAACACAGGACAUGAACUUCUGUAACGCCCAUGUCUACAAAACACACACUCUCCUUUGUAAAAAAAAAAAAAAAAAAAAAUCUAGUCUUGUCUGAAUCAAUACAUGUAAUCACAGUUGUCGGGUAAUAAGAAUUGUAUCUCGUGUCAUUUAGAAAAGUAGUCCUGUCCAAAUAGUGAUAUAGUGUCAUAGUUCAAUUUUAAAUGAGUGUGAAGUUAUCAUUUGCAGUGUGUUUUUAUAUUUUAAUUAACUUAAUUAUCAAACUAAUAAUAUAAUACUAUAUUGUCAGUGGCCUACAAAUAAACUGGCUUGAUUAGCUGCUUCGAGUGUGUUUGAUUAGGGUUGGCACUAAACUCUGAAGGACAGUGAGUCUGCAAGAAAAGGGUUAAAGAACUGAUCAAGGGUGUAAAACUGACAGACACACACACACACACAGAGAUAAUGAGUGAGACUGAGGGAGCGAGGGGGAGGACAGAGAGAGAGACAGAGACAGACUGAGAAGAUCAUUUUAAACAACAACAACAACAAAAAACCCAUCUAAAUUGUGACAUAAAGUAGUCUUUUAUAAAUGUUUAAAUAUACCUGCACAUACAGUAUAAAAUAAAAAAGAAAUCAUUGUUCCAUGUAUCUAAACUAUUGAUCUAUUGCUUGAUUUAUCCAACCCUGUUUAAAAAUAGAUAUAUGCUGCCCUCUAGUUGUUACUCUAUGUAUGACAUGUAUCCAUUUUUCAAACAGCUAUAAUUAAUCUGCCUAUUUUUAACUCACACAUGCUUUUUGAAUUGAAAAAAGUUUACUGAAUUGUUUACUUCAAACAUUUGUAUUAUUCUAUAUAUAAAUUAAUUGUGUAUAGUGUUUUUUUAUAGAAAAUAUGAGUCAUUCCAUUUCCCUUUUUUGACAUUACUUCAAUCUAUCACCAUGGCAACACCGUUCGAGAUAUCCAUUAUCCGUUCUCAAUUUAACAUCUUCAAUGUCUUAGCACCAUGGUAAAAAAUGUUUGGUCUGAAUCGAAUAAACCCCCUAGAAGUAGUAGUUUAAAAUUCAGAGCAUGUUUAUUCAAAAAAAUCCACAUUCAAACCAAAAUAUCUGACUUCCUGUUGGUCGGAGCUAAUGACUGUAAAUUAGAAAGUUGUCUGGCUUAAUGAGACCAAUAUGUGUACCGAGUUUGGUGACUGCAGGUUAAACUAACCCCCCACUUUUGUCAAAAGGUGGCGCUAUAGAGGCCCAGCUCCCCGCCCAUUUCUACGGUUUUGCCCAUGUCUACUGGUUGACAUCUCUGAUGUGUGUAUUGAGUUUCAUGCAAUUUGAAGCAUGUUAAGAGUCUCAAAAGCUUCCAAAACGAAUAUUAAAGUUUGAUGCAUUGUCAUGGUAACGGUGUUUGAGAUAUCACAAUUCUUUUCAAAGGUCUACGUCUGCCAUGUUUUGACAUUAUUCUGAUAAAGUUUGAAGCAAAUCGGGUAAAAAUAAGAGGGUGAUCUCAAAGCAAGUUGAAAGUGACACACUUCCUGCUGCCAGUUGGUGGCGCUAUAACUUGACUCACAAUAGUCACAUCCAUGUGAUCAGCCUUGUACAACGAACACACAGCUGACGUUUGAUCAAAAUCAAUCAAUGUAUGCAGAUAUUAUAACACAUUUCCUGUUUACCUUUUCUCGUCAUAAAUUUGUUGCCUCCUGUUGAGCUGGCGUAUAACUUAGAGCACGGAAGUUGUUAGGCCCGAUGAGGUCUUUAUGUGUACUGAGUUUCAUACUAAUACAUGCAAGCGUGUUUGAUAUAUGGCCAAGUUUUCGGAUCCCAUUCAAGGGGGCGCUGUCGAGCCCCUGUGCCACGCCCGGGUACCAGCCUCUGCGGCGUCCUAAUGGCAGCAGAUUCCAAUGUGUGUGCCAAUUUUCAAGAGUUUUUGAGCACGUUAAGGCCCCCAAAAUGCCCUGGGAGGUUGAAAAAAAAAUAAAAUAAUAAUAAUCCUUAGGAGAACAAUAGGCCCCUGCGCCUUAGUGGCUUGGGCCAUAAUAAUAAACGGAGCAAUCCCAAUAGGGUCCUCUCACCAUCGGUGCUCGGGCCCUAAUAAACGGAGGAAAUCCAAUAGGGUCCUCGCACUUUGGUGCUCGGGCCCUAAUAAAUACAUAACAUCAAUUGCUCAAAGAUGACUCUAAGAGUAAGAAAUGCAUACACACAGUGGUGUGUGAGUGUUUUUAAGACACUGACACAUCACAGCGUGGGGGUCUCUAGCUACAAAAUGUCCCAAAUGGCUGCUCUGCCACCUUCCCUUAAAUAUCCAGACCAGAACAAAAGGAUUGUAAAUAUUUACUACACCAACACCUGUUUUUGUGGGAGAGAAGAGAGUUAACAGAUAUCUUGAAAAGACAACAACUAAAAAGGAGAACAGAAUUCUAAUAAGUUUUCAAUCUUACUCAUAAUACAAGUGACUGCUGUGAAAUUGAGACCAUUUUAUCAAUUGCACUGAGACAUUUAAAAUGAUACCAAACAUGAAAGUGAAAAAAAAAAAAGAUUCACAAGAUACAUCAUACAUAGUACAUAUGCAUUCUUAGAAAACUUUCAGUGAUCUUCUAUCCAGAUGAGUUUUAUUGCUUUAUUGCAGGGUGUUUGAUCUCAGUUUUUGUCUUAGCAGGAAAAUCAAGUCUUACAACACUAACAAGCAUUUUGUCAACCACAUUGGGCUUGAUAGCCUGGUAGUUGCCAUUUUUUAGGACAUUAAUUUUUGUCUUUUUUCUUUUCAGGUUUAUGUCUGCAUGCAACCUCUCAGAGCAAGGGGUCAGGUAAGACAGUCAUUUUUUUGGAGGAACACCGAGGCCUUUCCAGUUUUCAACAGGGUCUUCCUCCACUGAUUGUUGUUUAACCUCUGUGUCCUGCUCACUAUGGGCAGUUUUUGUCUUCUGAUUCUUUGUCUCAGUGUGCUCUGUUGUCUUCACCGGUGCAGAGGACAGCCUCAUGUUUUCCUCAAGAAACUCAAGGUGGCGUAUGACAAAACGUUCAAUUUGGAUGGUGAGGCUUUCAUGUUUGAAGAGACCAUGUUUUAUGUUUUUAAAUUCAGCCUCCACAGAGCUUGCUGUGUUGUGUACACUUUUGAAGUGUGGAACCAUCACAGCUGUCCAAAGAGAUUUCUGUGACCCAUGUUUUCAGAUCUGUAUGGAGUGUCUCCUCGAUUCUGGUCACCUCUGUUAAAUGGUCAUCUUCAGUGACACAUGUCAAGACCCCCUCUGCAAAUCAUCUCUUCAGUUGUGUUUUGCAUGUUUCUGAGACAACAGGCAUUCCCACCAGCUAAUGAGCUUGAUGCAGUGUGCAACAUCUACUCUGAUGAAGCAAGGUGGUAGCUUUGAGUCUUCGGGCUUCCUUGCCAGGACUCCAAAGCACUGAUUGAUGUAUGUUUUCAAGUCUGGGUAAGGAGUGAAGGCCUUAACCAGUGCCCCAAGCAAAGCCAAGGAGAAAUCACAGACUGCCUCUUUGGGCACAGCAGCACCUGCUCGUUGCCAUUCAGUGAGCUAAUUCGCAAUAGAAUUGAUGGUGUGGCUCUCUGAUAGCAUUUGCACUACUGGAACAUGAUCUCCCUGUGAACACAAAACUCCUUGAUACAGGAAGACAUGCCCAGAAUUGCCACAAUGUCUUCUCAGUCUUUUCACAACUGUACCUGUUGUAACGGACCGCUAAUUUACAAAGGAGAAUUUACAGUCUGUAUUGAUUUAUUUGUACUAAGUUGCCUUUAAAGGACUUUUAUUUUGAUAAGGACUUGACGCACAACAUUUGGACUGUAAUAAUGCACAACCCAUUUCCGCCAGUUGUCUGUGUGUGUGCAUACAGCCUGCAAUCUGUGACGGUUUUCUCUCCCCAUUGUAUUUUUGUGCAUCUCACUAGAGGGUUUUAAGGUAAAUGAGUUUAAUUUCUAUCAUUUUGUAACUGUAUCAUUUUAUUGUGAUGUUUACUAUUGUGUAAGAGUUAUACAGUGUUUGUUUUUUUUUGUUUUUGUGUGUUCGCUGUAGCUCUUACAGUGUCUACAUGAGUGUCACGAAUAAAACGCUAAUGGAA